AGCGAACGCUGGCGGCAGGCUUAACACAUGCAAGUCGAGCGGGCAUCCUUGUGGUGUCAGCGGCAGACGGGUGAGUAACGCGUGGGAACGUGCCCUUCGGUUCGGAAUAACUCAGGGAAACUUGAGCUAAUACCGGAUACGUGCGAGAGCAGAAAGGUUUAUCUGCCGAAGGAUCGGCCCGCGUCUGAUUAGCUAGUUGGUGAGGUUAUGGCUCACCAAGGCGACGAUCAGUAGCUGGUCUGAGAGGAUGAUCAGCCACACUGGGACUGAGACACGGCCCAGACUACUACGGGAGGCAGCAGUGGGGAAUAUUGGACAAUGGGGGCAACCCUGAUCCAGCCAUGCUGCGUGAGUGAUGACGGCCUUAGGGUAGUAAAGCUCUUUUCUCCGGGACGAUAAUGACGGUACCGGAGGAAUAAGCCCCGGCUAACUUCGUG
rnacentral:rRNA from 1 species